rnacentral:rRNA from 1 species
UACGUAGGGUGCGAGCGUAAUCGGAAUUACUGGGCGUAAAGCGUGCGCAGGCGGUUUUGUAAGCCAGAUGUGAAAGCCCCGGGCUUAACCUGGGAAUGGCAUUUGGGACUGCAAGGCUUGAGUGCGGCAGAGGAGACUGGAAUUCCUGGUGUAGCAGUGAAAUGCGUAGAUAUCAGGAGGAAUACCGAUGGCGAAGGCAGGUCUCUGGGCUGACACUGACGCUCAUGCACGAAAGGCGUGGGGAGCAAACAGG